CAGCGGUAGAACCUCGAGCAAAGAAUAGUUUAGAAAAAAGAAAGAAAAAAACCUCCAUUAAAUUACAGCCAAGGAGAGGGGAGGACGGAUGGAUGGCCUGUCCCAUAACUAAUGUUUGGAGAAGGGUGUUUAUGUAAUUCAAGGAGCAUAUAAGUUGUUAGCUACAAACCCUAGCUAUGUGUGAGUGUAGUGUCUAGCGUCUACGCCAGGAGCUGCUCUAAAAUAAUGCUAGGUGGAGAGGACAGAGUUUAGCUGAUUGAUGAUCAGAGAGAGAGAGAGAAACCCCACCAUCUGUUCCUUUCCCUUACUAUGUGGUAUAUUGUGGAUAUAUAUAUGUGGUAUAUGAGGCGUCACUUCCUGUUUAUGAGCAGAAAGAGUGGGAGAGAGGGAAGAGAAGAGAGCACUUUAUUAUCCUCCGAAUAAUUACAAAUUCCCUUGUGUUCCUUUCAGCUUUAUUUAUACUCUACUCUACUCUACCCAAAGCCUUCAACAUCUCCUGGAAAAUCUCCUGUGGCUGUGGCUGUGGCUCUGUGCCUGUGAAAAGAAAAGGAAAAGAAAAGAAAAGAAGAGAAAGGAAAGGAAAAAGAUGUCCCUCCCUCUUCCCCUCAUCUCCCUUUCUUUUAUGUUUAAAAUGAACAACUUUGCCAGAUUUGUAGAGAUCCUCAAUCGCUUUCUACCUCUUCUCUGACUCUCACGAGGACAGCGACAUUUCCUCUUCCCUGCCUUUAUUGCAGCUCUUAAUUAAUUAUCUUCCGUGAUUUCUGCAUUUCUUUCUUUACUCCCUCUUUUCAUUUUCAUCUUCUCUUCUAUAAAUAUUCUUGUAAUUAUCUUCUACCAUACCAUGAGUACCUAGUAUUUUUCUCUUUGCCUUUCUUUUCCACAAAGAAGGAAGGAAAAGAAGAAGAAGAAAAGUGCAGCUGAAGCUGAUCAUCGUGGAAGCACCGGAUGCUUUCUAGCUUUUCAUAUAAGAAGGUGCACGGCCAGUCUCAAUGGAGCUAAUUGGUGUCGCAGAAAAUCGGUUUGAAAAGGAAGAAAGAAAGAAAGAAGAAGAAAAUAAUUAAGAGUUGUAACUUUCCGACCAAGUGCCAUUAUUUGUAAAUCUGUCAUAAAAAAUUAGUAAUUAUCGCUAAUUACUAUGGACAGCUUAUCGAUUGCAUUUGAUUAAUUACAUUUUUAAUGAUUGAUUUGUGAGUA